GAUGAACGCUGGCGGCGUGCCUAAUACAUGCAAGUCGAGCGAACGGACGAGAAGCUUGCUUUUCUGAUGUUAGCGGCGGACGGGUGAGUAACACGUGGAUAACCUACCUAUAAGACUGGGAUAACUUCGGGAAACCGGAGCUAAUACCGGAUAAUAUUUUGAACCGCAUGGUUCAAAAGUGAAAGACGGUCUUGCUGUCACUUAUAGAUGGAUCCGCGCUGCAUUAGCUAGUUGGUAAGGUAACGGCUUACCAAGGCAACGAUGCAUAGCCGACCCGAGAGGGUGAUCGGCCACACUGGAACUGAGACACGGUCCAGACUCCUACGGGAGGCAGCAGUAGGGAAUCUUCCGCAAAGGGCGAAAGCCUGACGGAGCAACGCCGCGUGAGUGAUGAAGGUCUUCGGAUCGUAAAACUCUGUUAUUAGGGAAGAACAUAUGUGUAAGUAACUGUGCACAUCUUGACGGUACCUAAUCAGAAAGCCACGGCUAACUACGUG
rnacentral:rRNA from 1 species